GCGGCGAUAGCAUAAGGGUAGUGCAUCCGUUAUUCCAAACGGAGGGCGGCGGUUCGAGUCCGACCUCGCCGCUCCA
rnacentral:tRNA from 1 species